AUACGUAGGGAGCGAGCGUUGUCCGGAAUUACUGGGUGUAAAGGGAGCGUAGGCGGGAGUGCAAGUCAGAUGUGAAAUACAUGGGCUCAACCCAUGGGCUGCAUUUGAAACUGCAUUUCUUGAGUGAAGUAGAGGUAAGCGGAAUUCCUGGUGUAGCGGUGAAAUGCGUAGAUAUCAGGAGGAACACCGGUGGCGAAGGCGGCUUACUGGGCUUUUACUGACGCUGAGGCUCGAAAGCGUGGGGAGCAAACAGGAUUAGAUACCCUGGUAGUCCACGCUGUAAACGAUGAUUACUAGGUGUGGGGGGACUGACCCCUUCCGUGCCGCAGUUAACACAAUAAGUAAUCCACCUGGGGAGUACGGCCACAAGGUUGAAACUCAAAUGAAUUGACGGGG
rnacentral:rRNA from 1 species